rnacentral:rRNA from 1 species
GGAGGAUCCGAGCGUUAUCCGGAUUUAUUGGGUUUAAAGGGAGCGUAGGUGGACUGGUAAGUCAGUUGUGAAAGUUUGCGGCUCAACCGUAAAAUUGCAGUUGAUACUGUCAGUCUUGAGUACAGUANAGGUGGGCGGAAUUCGUGGUGUAGCGGUGAAAUGCUUAGAUAUCACGAAGAACUCCGAUUGCGAAGGCAGCUCACUGGACUGCAACUGACACUGAUGCUCGAAAGUGUGGGUAUCAAACAGGAUUAGAUACCCUGGUAGUCCACACAGUAAACGAUGAAUACUCGCUGUUUGCGAUAUACAGUAAGCGGCCAAGCGAAAGCAUUAAGUAUUCCACCUGGGGAGU